rnacentral:lncRNA from 1 species
AAGAAUUAUAUGCUAAUGAAGAAAAUGAAAGUAAGAGAAUAAAGCUGUUGUUGUGUGAGAUUGAAGGCAUUGAAAAGGGAAUUUCUGACCUCCAAGGUAACCAAAAUAACAUAAGGCAACAUGCAUCAGAACUUCAAACAUUUUUAGCAUUAAAGCACAUUGAAAAAGAGGUUUCUGAUAAAGCAGAAUGUAUUCAGUCUGUCCUUAAGAACGAGGACAUGAAGAUAAAAACACUGGCUUUGGAGGUUAACAAAGACGUACAAAACAUUUGCAGGGCUGAUUGUUUUGGGUCCGUUAGUGUUGAAUUCAAAAUCGUGCAAAGUUGUUAUUGACAGUAACAAAAACAAAGAAGCUCAGAUGAUGAUACCUAGUUUAAUUUCCAAAUGCAUAGAUGAUAUCAAACUAAGCAACAAAAUGCAAAUUGAUUUGCAAUCUGCUGGAGAUGUGUUACAGGUUGCGCAAUUCUACCAAAUGGCAAGAUGAUGUUCUGUGAUUAUAAUAAUCGAAAUUUAAUUGUGUUGAAAAGCAACGGUAUGCAUGAGUUUGAAAUUCGGCUAGAUACACGCGCAUUUGAUUUAGCAUAUUUUGAAAGAGAAAAUUCCAUUGCCGUUACAAGUGGUUAUGGUUCAAAUGUUAUUCACAUUAUUGACCCUAACAGCAGAACAAUCAAGAGAACUAUACAAAGUAGUGAAUAUCCAUAUGGUAUAGCACUGAAUAAAACUGUCCUGGUAUACUGUAAGUUAGGUAAAGGAAUAAUGGAAGUUCAAUUGAAUGGUGAAUCAGAAAAGGCACUUGUUAGCUUUAGUAUGCCACACUAUUCGUAUGUUGCAGUGCAUGGUGACAAUACGUAUUAUACAAAUAAAGACAACCAUUCUGUAACAUGCUAUGAUAUCCUUGGAAACUUAUAAAUGGGAAUUUAAGGAUACACAAAAUCUGCAAUAUCCACAGGGUAUAUCUGUAGACAACAAUGGAAACGUGUAUGUUGUCAGUAGGGAUACAAACAGCGUUGUCAUCAUUAACCCCUGAUGGAAAGCGUUGCAGAACAAUAUUGUCCUCUCGUGAUGGCCUUAAGUACUCCACGUGCAUUGCAUUUCGAACCAACAAGUAACAAGUUGUUAGUUGCCAAUGAAAACAAGAUCGCAUUUCUAUUUGAUGUUUCCUAAAACAACUACUGUGAAUUUUUAACUCUGAACCUAUUUGUUAUAUAUUUGUAUGUUACUAUAUUAUGUAUAUACAGAUAAUUAUAUUCAGAUUAGUAUGAACCGUCUGGAAUAUAUGUAAAUAGUUAAAUGAGGUAAAAAAGAUUCAAGGCAUUUCUCUAUUUAAUAAAAAGUUUUUUUUAAAUUAAUUGAAAGCUCAUUUAUCUAGUAUAAUUAUGUAUUGUAUGAAAUUAUGUAAUAAAUUGAAAAAAAAUAUGACAAAACUUUUUAGGAUAUUUUGGUCCUCAAUGCAUUCAACUUCGUACUUUAUUUGGCUUUGUUAACUUGAUUCGAACGUCACUGUUAAGUUCUUUUGUAGACGAAACCUGCGUCUGGCGCAAAUACAAAAUUUCUAAGAACAAUAUGCAAUUAGAAAAAUUAAACUCAUUUUUGUAUCUACAAAAACAUAGAUUUGUACAAAUAAAUAACACUUGAAGAUUAUAAAUGACACAAGUGAUCAGGUCUAUAAAUAUCUAUCAGUCGUCAAUUUCUCCUUAGAGUUGCCACUGAAGGAAAAUUAAUUUUAAAUGGGUCCGUUAUACAUACAGUGGAUAGACUAUUGAUGAUAGAUCGACCAACAAGUUUUAACAACUGUGAAAUAUAGAUUAUAAAAAUUGUAUUUGAUUUAGAUUGACUGCAUUUGAUAUGUCUGUAUAUAUUGAUCAAUUGUUACAGAGGUUCUUGUCCCAUUCGAGAAGAAAGGCUUAGAAGUGCAUAGAGGGCAUACUUUCAAAACCACU